CCCUUAGAUGUUCUGGGCCGCACGCGCGCUACACUGGCGGAGCCAACGAGUACUUUCCUUGUCCGGAAGGACUGGGUAAUCUUGUGAAACUUCGUCGUGCUGGGGAUAGAGCAUUGCAAUUAUUGCUCUUCAACGAGGAAUUCCUAGUAAGCGUGAGUCAUCAGCUCGCGUUGAUUACGUCCCUGCCCUUUGUACACACCGCCCGUCGCUACUACCGAUUGAAUGGCUUAGUGAGCCUUUGGGAUUGGCAGCUUGUACCGGCAACGGUAGCAGGCCGCUGAAAACUUAGGCAAACUUGGUCAUUUAGAGGAAGUAAAAGUCGUAACA
rnacentral:rRNA from 1 species